rnacentral:lncRNA from 1 species
GAUAAAAAUCAGAGGAGGAGGAGGAGGAGGGCUUGUCUGGAAGGGGAGGCAUUUUGGCAGAUUUCUUGUUUAAGAGGAGCAGCUGGUAAGGUGAACAGGACUGAUAGAGGGAAUUGGCAAAAGCCUGGAUAUAGAGCAUCUUGGACCACUUGCCAUUGUGCUGGAGGACAUAAAGAAACAUACCUGAAAAUUAUAAGAGCCAUAUAGGACAAACCCACAGCCAAUAUUAUACUAAAUGGGCAAAAGCUGAAAUCAUACGCCUUGAAAACUGGAACAAGACAAAACUGGAACAAGAUGCUUACUCCCACCAUUCCUAUUCAACAUAGUACUGGAAGUCCUUGACAGAGCAAUCGAACAAGAGAAAGAAAUAAAAGGCAUCCAAAUAGGAAAAGAAGUUAAACUCUCUCUCUCUUUGCUGACAAUAUGAUUACA